UACGUAGGUGGCAAGCGUUAUCCGGAAUUACUGGGUGUAAAGGGAGCGUAGACGGUAAUGUAAGUCUGGAGUGAAAGGCGGGGGCCCAACCCCCGGACUGCUCUGGAAACUAUGUUACUAGAGUGCAGGAGAGGUAAGCGGAAUUCCUAGUGUAGCGGUGAAAUGCGUAGAUAUUAGGAGGAACACCAGUGGCGAAGGCGGCUUACUGGACUGUAACUGACGUUGAGGCUCGAAAGCGUGGGGAGCAAACAGG
rnacentral:rRNA from 1 species